rnacentral:rRNA from 1 species
GAUCCUGGCUCAGGAUGAACGCUAGCUACAGGCUUAACACAUGCAAGUCGAGGGGCAGCAUUUUUCUAGCAAUAGAAGAGAUGGCGACCGGCGCACGGGUGAGUAACACGUAUCCAACCUACCGAUAACUCCGGAAUAGCCUUUCGAAAGAAAGAUUAAUAACGGAUAGUAUACGAAUAUCGCAUGAUAUUUUUAUUAAAGAAUUUCGGUUAUCGAUGGGGAUGCGUUCCAUUAGUUUGUUGGCGGGGUAACGG